CCUGACUGCUAUCGGAUUGAUACUAAGCCAUGCGAGUCAUUGUAGCAAUACAAGGCAUACGGCUCAGUAACGCGUAGUCAACCUAACCUAUGGACGGGAAUAACCUCGGGAAACUGAGAAUAAUGCCCGAUAGAACACUAUACCUGGAAUGGUUUGUGUUCCAAAUGAUUUAUCGCCAUAGGAUGGGACUGCGGCCUAUCAGUUUGUUGGUGAGGUAAUGGCCCACCAAGACUAUUACAGGUACGGGCUCUGAGAGGAGUAGCCCGGAGAUGGGUACUGAGACACGGACCCAGGCCCUAUGGGGCGCAGCAGGCGAGAAAACUUUGCAAUGUGCGAAAGCACGACAAGGUUAAUCCGAGUGAUUUGUGCUAAACGAAUCUUUUGUUAGUCCUAGAAACACUAACGAAUAAGGGGUGGGCAAGUUCUGGUGUCAGCCGCCGCGGUAAAACCAGCACCUCAAGUGGUCAGGAUGAUUAUUGGGCCUAAAGCAUCCGUAGCCGGCUCUGUAAGUUUUCGGUUAAAUCUGUACGCUUAACGUACAGGCUGCCGGGAAUACUGCAAAGCUAGGGAGUGGAGAGGUAGACGGUACUCGGUAGGAAGUGGUAAAAUGCUUUGAUCUAUCGAUGACCACCUGUGGCGAAGGCGGUCUACCAGAACACGUCCGACGGUGAGGGAUGAAAGCUGGGGGAGCAAACCGGAUUAGAUACCCGGGUAGUCCCAGCUGUAAACUAUGCAAACUCAGUGAUGCAUUGGCUUGUGGCCAAUGCAGUGCUGCAGGGAAGCCGUUAAGUUUGCCGCCUGGGAAGUACGUACGCAAGUAUGAAACUUAAAGGAGUUGGCGGGGGAGCACCACAAGGGGUGAAGCCUGCGGUUC
rnacentral:rRNA from 1 species